rnacentral:rRNA from 1 species
AUGGGCCGCGUGAUCAGGGCGCAGCGCAAGGGCGCGGGCUCGGUGUUCAAGUCGCACACGCACCACCGCCGGGGCCCGGCGCGGUUCCGGGCGCUGGACUACGGCGAGCGGAACGGGUACCUCAAGGGCAUGGUGACGGACAUCGUGCACGACCCGGGCCGCGGCGCACCGCUGGCCCGCGUCGACUUCCGCGAUCCCGUCCGCUACAAGCACCGCAAGGAGCUCUUCGUGGCCGCCGAGGGCAUGUACACGGGCCAGUCCGUCUACUGCGGUUGCCGCGCCGUCGUCGCCAUCGGCAACGUGCUCCCGCUCGCCUCGCUGCCCGAGGGCGCCGUCGUCUGCAACGUCGAGCAGCACGUCGGCGACCGCGGCGCCCUCGCCCGCGCCUCGGGUGACUACGCCAUCGUCAUCAGCCACAACUCCGACAACGACACCACCAGGAUCAAGCUGCCGUCGGGGGCGAAGAAGGUGGUGCAGAGCGGGUGCAGGGCGAUGGUGGGGCAGGUGGCCGGCGGCGGGAGGACGGAGAAGCCGCUGCUCAAGGCGGGCAGGGCGUACCACAAGUUCAGGGUGAAGAGGAACAGCUGGCCCAGGGUGCGCGGCGUGGCCAUGAACCCUGUCGACCACCCGCACGGAGGAGGCAACCACCAGCACAUCGGACACGCGUCCACGGUCCGCCGCGACGCGCCUCCCGGGCAGAAGGUUGGACAGGUCGGGGCGCGGAGGACCGGCAGGCUCAGGGGACAGGCCGCCGUCAACGCAUCCAAGGACAGCAGGACCGCUUAG